UACGAAGGGGGCUAGCGUUGCUCGGAAUCACUGGGCGUAAAGCGCACGUAGGCGGAUUGUUAAGUCAGGGGUGAAAUCCUGGAGCUCAACUCCAGAACUGCCUUUGAUACUGGCGAUCUCGAGUCCGGGAGAGGUGAGUGGAAUUCCGAGUGUAGAGGUGAAAUUCGUAGAUAUUCGGAGGAACACCAGUGGCGAAGGCGGCUCACUGGUCCGGUACUGGACGCUGAGGUGCGAAAGCGUGGGGAGCAAACAGGG
rnacentral:rRNA from 1 species